UACGAAGGGGGCGAGCGUUGUUCGGAUUUACUGGGCGUAAAGGGCGCGUAGGCGGCCUUGUCAGUCAGGCGUGAAAGCCCCGGGCUCAACCUGGGAACGGCGCUUGGGACGGCGAGGCUGGAGUUCGGGAGAGGAGAGUGGAAUUCCCAGUGUAGAGGUGAAAUUCGUAGAUAUUGGGAAGAACACCGGUGGCGAAGGCGGCUCUCCGGACCGACACUGACGCUGAGGCGCGAAAGCGUGGGGAGCAAACAGG
rnacentral:rRNA from 1 species